rnacentral:rRNA from 1 species
CAUAGGUUAAUGAGGCGAACCGGGGGAACUGAAACAUCUAAGUACCCCGAGGAAAAGAAAUCAACCGAGAUUCCCCCAGUAGCGGCGAGCGAACGGGGAGCAGCCCAGAGCCUGAAUCAGUGUGUGUGUUAGUGGAAGCGUCUGGAAAGGCGCGCGAUACAGGGUGACAGCCCCGUACACAAAAAUGCACAUGCUGUGAGCUCGAUGAGUAGGGCGGGACACGUGGUAUCCUGUCUGAAUAUGGGGGGACCAUCCUCCAAGGCUAAAUACUCCUGACUGACCGAUAGUGAACCAGUACCGUGAGGGAAAGGCGAAAAGAACCCCGGCGAGGGGAGUGAAAAAGAACCUGAAACCGUGUACGUACAAGCAGUGGGAGCACGCUUAGGCGUGUGACUGCGUACCUUUUGUAUAAUGGGUCAGCGACUUAUAUUCUGUAGCAAGGUUAACCGAAUAGGGGAGCCGAAGGGAAACCGAGUCUUAACUGGGCGUUAAGUUGCAGGGUAUAGACCCGAAACCCGGUGAUCUAGCCAUGGGCAGGUUGAAGGUUGGGUAACACUAACUGGAGGACCGAACCGACUAAUGUUGAAAAAUUAGCGGAUGACUUGUGGCUGGGGGUGAAAGGCCAAUCAAACCGGGAGAUAGCUGGUUCUCCCCGAAAGCUAUUUAGGUAGCGCCUCGUGAAUUCAUCUCCGGGGGUAGAGCACUGUUUCGGCAAGGGGGUCAUCCCGACUUACCAACCCGAUGCAAACUGCGAAUACCGGAGAAUGUUAUCACGGGAGACACACGGCGGGUGCUAACGUCCGUCGUGAAGAGGGAAACAACCCAGACCGCCAGCUAAGGUCCCAAAGUCAUGGUUAAGUGGGAAACGAUGUGGGAAGGCCCAGACAGCCAGGAUGUUGGCUUAGAAGCAGCCAUCAUUUAAAGAAAGCGUAAUAGCUCACUGGUCGAGUCGGCCUGCGCGGAAGAUGUAACGGGGCUAAACCAUGCACCGAAGCUGCGGCAGCGACGCUUAUGCGUUGUUGGGUAGGGGAGCGUUCUGUAAGCCUGUGAAGGUGUGCUGUGAGGCAUGCUGGAGGUAUCAGAAGUGCGAAUGCUGACAUAAGUAACGAUAAAGCGGGUGAAAAGCCCGCUCGCCGGAAGACCAAGGGUUCCUGUCCAACGUUAAUCGGGGCAGGGUGAGUCGACCCCUAAGGCGAGGCCGAAAGGCGUAGUCGAUGGGAAACAGGUUAAUAUUCCUGUACUUGGUGUUACUGCGAAGGGGGGACGGAGAAGGCUAUGUUGGCCGGGCGACGGUUGUCCCGGUUUAAGCGUGUAGGCUGGUUUUCCAGGCAAAUCCGGAAAAUCAAGGCUGAGGCGUGAUGACGAGGCACUACGGUGCUGAAGCAACAAAUGCCCUGCUUCCAGGAAAAGCCUCUAAGCAUCAGGUAACAUCAAAUCGUACCCCAAACCGACACAGGUGGUCAGGUAGAGAAUACCAAGGCGCUUGAGAGAACUCGGGUGAAGGAACUAGGCAAAAUGGUGCCGUAACUUCGGGAGAAGGCACGCUGAUAUGUAGGUGAAGUCCCUCGCGGAUGGAGCUGAAAUCAGUCGAAGAUACCAGCUGGCUGCAACUGUUUAUUAAAAACACAGCACUGUGCAAACACGAAAGUGGACGUAUACGGUGUGACGCCUGCCCGGUGCCGGAAGGUUAAUUGAUGGGGUCAGCGCAAGCGAAGCUCUUGAUCGAAGCCCCGGUAAACGGCGGCCGUAACUAUAACGGUCCUAAGGUAGCGAAAUUCCUUGUCGGGUAAGUUCCGACCUGCACGAAUGGCGUAAUGAUGGCCAGGCUGUCUCCACCCGAGACUCAGUGAAAUUGAACUCGCUGUGAAGAUGCAGUGUACCCGCGGCAAGACGGAAAGACCCCGUGAACCUUUACUAUAGCUUGACACUGAACAUUGAGCCUUGAUGUGUAGGAUAGGUGGGAGGCUUUGAAGUGUGGACGCCAGUCUGCAUGGAGCCGACCUUGAAAUACCACCCUUUAAUGUUUGAUGUUCUAACGUUGACCCGUGAUCCGGGUUGCGGACAGUGUCUGGUGGGUAGUUUGACUGGGGCGGUCUCCUCCUAAAGAGUAACGGAGGAGCACGAAGGUUGGCUAAUCCUGGUCGGACAUCAGGAGGUUAGUGCAAUGGCAUAAGCCAGCUUGACUGCGAGCGUGACGGCGCGAGCAGGUGCGAAAGCAGGUCAUAGUGAUCCGGUGGUUCUGAAUGGAAGGGCCAUCGCUCAACGGAUAAAAGGUACUCCGGGGAUAACAGGCUGAUACCGCCCAAGAGUUCAUAUCGACGGCGGUGUUUGGCACCUCGAUGUCGGCUCAUCACAUCCUGGGGCUGAAGUAGGUCCCAAGGGUAUGGCUGUUCGCCAUUUAAAGUGGUACGCGAGCUGGGUUUAGAACGUCGUGAGACAGUUCGGUCCCUA